rnacentral:rRNA from 1 species
CGUCCGAUCACCGAAGUUAAGCAACGUCGAGCCCGGUCAGUACUUGGAUGGGUGACCGCUUGGGAAUACCGGGUGCUGUAGACUU